GGCACGUUAAGAGGAACAUGAUUGCCAGAGGAUGCUGCUUCCCUCCCUGGUUAUAAUUACGAGGAUGUGUGGUUUUGCUUAAAUGGGAAAACAAAUAGAUCUCCCCAGCCUUUCCCUUCCCCUCCAUCUGAGUAGACACUGCCUUUAUCAUAAGCUAAAAGAGAAAUAUUUAUAGGAAAGCCUUGUUAAAGUGCUGGCACAGUACGACUGCCUCUGGCUGAGCCAUAAACUCACUUGGGGGAAAAAAAUCACCCUGUGAAGGAUGCCAGCAAAAAAACAGUGUGUUGUUUGACUGCCAGGCUCGAACAAUGCACGGGUCUCUCCUCAGAUCUCCAGCCCGGCCUGGAUUUCCCCUGUCAGCAAGUCAUUUAGGGCCAGAUGCUUCGUGCUCAGGGCUCUCUUAGGCAGAGCUGAUCCCACCCUUGGGGAAGAGCAAGGGCCCUGAUGGCCAUGGAGAGUCCCAUCCUACUGUUUUCCAUGUUAGAUUCAGUUCCCAAGAGGGUCAAGUGGAGCAUGGGAAGACAGAGAGCUGAAGAUGCAAAGACACGCUAAGUGCUCCCUUGAAGUGUCAGUGCCGUGUCCAGCAGAGGACCCUUGCUUGCAGGGAAAUGGCCACAGAGGAAUCUGCUUGGGAGGGCUGUGACUCACGCAAGGCUUUUUUCCAUGAUGUCCCAGAUUUAAAUCCCAUGAUCCCAUACCAACCUGCUACAUUGCAUCCUGCACCUGGUGGACAUGGAGAACAUCUAGAGCAAGCUCUGAUCCUCGGCAGCAGAAGGCGGGGAAGAAGCUUCACAUUGUGAGAGUAUCUGCAGGAAGUCCAACCCUAUCUUCAGAGGAGGAAGCUGAAAUAAAUGGCAAUCACCAGUGGAUGAAAGCUCAGCAGUUCUUCAGCCAAUUGUGCUGAUUAGCUCUCGUGGAGGCAUCUGCACCCUGGUGAACAAAGUGAAGUGAUCCCCAUCCCAUAGCCAGCAUCUUGGACACUUCCAGCUGCUUUGUGCAAUGUGGCUGAAACUGGUCUCCUUUAUCUAACCAGCUUCUGGAAUGUUUGAAAGUUGGGGGAGGAAGGGGGACGAACACACACAUUGAAGAUGCAGUGAUGGGGCCAACCAGGGACACUAAGAACAUACCAGUGAGUGGCCCCUCUUUGAAAGUGAAUUGCCCUUCACAAGGAGAUGCAUAGAGCAACUCUAAAGCCAAGAACAACCCUACAGUGAAGGCAGCCUCCUGUAUCCUUUGGUCCUUCUGUCAUUGCUCUGGGACAUGGACUAUCUCUGUUCCUCUUUGCCACAACCUCGUGUCACUCUGGGAUGUCCUCCUGCUUGUAGAGGGCAAGGUAAAUGCCCUGGGGUGAAUUGCACUGUUG